rnacentral:rRNA from 1 species
AUUGAACGCUGGCGGCAGGCCUAACACAUGCAAGUCGAACGAGUGGCGGACGGGUGAGUAAUGUCUGGGAAACUGCCUGAUGGCGGGGGAUAACUACUGGAAACGGUAGCUAAUUCCGCAUACCAUCAGAUGUGCCCAGGUGGGAUGAGCUUGUGGGUGGGGUAACGGCUCACCAAGGCGACGAUCCCUAGCUGGUCUGAGAGGAUGACCGGCCACACGGGAACUGAGACACGGUCCAGAGGCCGACGGGAGGCAGCAGUGGGGAAUAUGGCACAAUGGGCGCAAGCCUGAUGCAGCCAUGCAGCGUGUAUGAAGAAGGCCUUCGGGUUGUAAAGUACUUUCAGCGGGGAGGCGUUACCCGCAGAAGAAGCACCGGCUAACUCCGUGCCAGCAGCCGCGGUAAUAC